UACAGAGGGUGCGAGCGUUAAUCGGAAUUACUGGGCGUAAAGGGCACGUAGGCGGUAAGUUAAGUUAGAUGUGAAAUGCCUGGGCUUAACCUAGGAAUUGCAUCUAAAACUGGUUUACUUGAGUAUGGUAGAGGAUAGUGGAAUUUCCGGUGUAGCGGUGAAAUGCGUAGAUAUCGGAAGGAACACCAGUGGCGAAAGCGGCGCGCUGGAUCCCUACUGACGCUGAGGCACGAAAGCCAGGGGAGCAAACGGG
rnacentral:rRNA from 1 species